rnacentral:tRNA from 1 species
GCCCUGGUAGCCUAGUGGUUAAGUGUUUGGCUGCUAACCAAAAGGUAGGCAAUUCGAAUCCACCAGGCA